AUAAACGGGAUACUUUCUUUUUCGCAAGAGAAGAGGGGAAAGGCGGUUUUAGCUUUUAAUAAAAGAGGCGCCCGGCGGCCCUAAGGUAAGUGGGGAGGUAAGGCUCACCAGGGGGAAGUUGGUUAGCCAACUGAGAAGGUUUUUGGCCCACGUGGGGAAUGAGCCCCGGCCCAGAUUUCUACGGGAGGCAGCAGUAGGAAUCUUCCGCAAUGGAAGAAAGUCUGAAGGAGCAACGCCGCGUGAACGAAGAAGGCCUUCGGGUCGUAAAGUUCUGGUGUUAGGGAAGAACAAGUACCAGAGUAACUGCUGGUACCUUGACGGUACCUAACCAGAAAGCCACGGCUAACUACGUGCCAGCAGCCGCGGUAAUACGUAGGUGGCAAGCGUUGUCCGGAAUUAUUGGGCGUAAAGCGCGCGCAGGUGGUUCCUUAAGUCUGAUGUGAAAGCCCACGGCUCAACCGUGGAGGGUCAUUGGAAACUGGGGAACUUGAGUGCAGAAGAGGAAAGUGGAAUUCCAAGUGUAGCGGUGAAAUGCGUAGAGAUUUGGAGGAACACCAGUGGCGAAGGCGACUUUCUGGUCUGUAACUGACACUGAGGCGCGAAAGCGUGGGGAGCAAACAGGAUUAGAUACCCUGGUAGUCCACGCCGUAAACGAUGAGUGCUAAGUGUUAGAGGGUUUCCGCCCUUUAGUGCUGCAGCUAACGCAUUAAGCACUCCGCCUGGGGAGUACGGCCGCAAGGCUGAAACUCAAAGGAAUUGACGGGGGCCCGCACAAGCGGUGGAGCAUGUGGUUUAAUUCGAAGCAACGCGAAGAACCUUACCAGGUCUUGACAUCCUCUGACAACCCUAGAGAUAGGGCUUUCCCCUUCGGGGGACAGAGUGACAGGUGGUGCAUGGUUGUCGUCAGCUCGUGUCGUGAGAUGUUGGGUUAAGUCCCGCAACGAGCGCAACCCUUGAUCUUAGUUGCCAGCAUUCAGUUGGGCACUCUAAGGUGACUGCC
rnacentral:rRNA from 1 species